GAUGAAGAACGCAGCGAAAUGCGAUACGUAAUGUGAAUUGCAAAUUCAGUGAAUCAUCGACUCUUUGAACGCACAUUGCGCCCCCUGGUAUUCCGGGGGGCAUGCCUGUCCGAGCGUCAUUGCUGCCCUCAAGCACGGCUUGUGUGUUGGGCCCCGUCCUCCGAUCCCGGGGGACGGGCCCGAAAGGCAGCGGCGGCACCGCGUCCGGUCCUCGAGCGUAUGGGGCUUUGUCACCCGCUCUGUAGGCCCGGCCGGCGCUUGCCGAUCAACCCAAAUUUUUAUCCAGGUUGACCUCGGAUCAGGUAGGGAUACCCGCUGAACUUAAGCAUAUCAAUAAGCGGAGGA
rnacentral:misc_RNA from 1 species